ensembl:lncRNA
CUCCACCUCCUCUACUCCUAAUUGUUUUCUGGCAGUCACAGCGCCUCGGUGUCCUCGCCACCCCCUGGACCUCCGACUGACACAAACACAACACAUCGCUCUCCACGAGAGACUCAUUUCACCAGACUGAAGCCCUUCAGGAACAACCACAGCAAAUAAAACCAUUUCAACCUGUAUUUCAUUUUUUUUAAUAAUAACAACAAUACACUGUUUGAUUGACCUGCCAAACAAAUACAUAUUGAUGAAAACUGCUGCAGAAGACCAUCCCGUUCCCCAACGCAAAGGAAGUUUUCAGUGCAGCAUUAUUUACAGCCGGAACACAAAACUUAUAGCAUGAAUUUUAAAUGAGUGCCCACAUUUAACCGAUACUUCUGCACGCUUCUUCAUGAAAUCACACUGCAUUCAAGAGGGAAGCCCUUGUUCCUUUCCAAUAGCCAUUAACAAAGGUAAAAGCGACGUGCCAUGUACACAAUAUUAGACCCACCAGAGCAACUCGACUGGUAAAAAUAAAGCAACCAAAUCACCGCAGCCCACCAGUACUUUUUCUUACUUAAGUCACUGCACCAGUAACACGGCAUCACAUGACUUUACCCAUCUAAACAACUAGCAAAAAUAGACUACAACACAAACUGUGUCCAGUUAAGAAUUACAAUUUGUUGAUCCGAAAUAUUCCAUCACACCACUCAAAUAUUUUCAUUGCUAGAUAGUCGGGGUACAUUAUAUCAUAAACCAAAGCAAAGGCAUAAGAUGUACUAAACAAGUCAAAGUUACCUACCAACUGCAGUCUUCGCUUUAAACUUUCCCUCACGCUCUCCAGAAUGCGCUCCCUCUCCUUCCUCCAGCCUUUCCUCCACUUCUCUCCCAAUUCACUUAGUGUAUUCACUGUAAACUUCUGCUCUCCUCCUGCAUGCAAAUCAUUUUUACGACUUGAGAGAUGACUGGGAAUGAGGGAAGGAGGAAGAGCGAUAGGGAGAAAGGAUGACAGAGGGGUGGAGGAGUGGAGAUAAUGGUUGGAAGGCAGGCGACCAAUGGGCCGGGAGCCUAAUGGAAAAGGGGAAUCAGGACACACCAAUGAGGCGCAGCCUGGAGAGAGAGAGAGAGAGAGAGAGAGCAGGAGGGAGAGGGGGAGAGAAAGAGAGAGAGAGAGCGUGGAGGAAACGGGCGAGGGAAGCAGGGAUGGCGAGAGCACAGUCGGGAGGAGACGCUUUAACGCAGAAAGACACUGAGGCAGAGAGAGAGCAAUAGAGAGAUAGAGGGUGUGCACGGUAUGUGGAGGGAGGCGAGCAUCCCGAGCAAGAUGGAGAGAGUGCACAUCAGAGAGGAGGCAGGGGAGAAAAGAAACGCACAAAGAGAGAGAGAACAGGGGAGGCAGAGAGAGGAGGGAAUGAAAGAAGGAAAGAAACUGACUUACCCGGCUACUGGCAUCCUUCACACGCCCGCCUCGCAGACUCCGCACACACACAUAUGCACACGCACCCACCCGGCGAUACAGGCACACGCCGCGCCGCCGCCGAGACUAACCAAAAGCAAAACAACAAAGGAGAAGACUGCCAAAGCCGACUGAUACGGGAGAAAGAUGCGGAGGAAAUAGAAGUCUCUGCACGUCCCCUCACUAGACGUCACUUUCUGUCAACCACAUGGCUUUCAACCAGCGGCACACCCCGAACACGAGGAGACUCCCGAACAAGUUCCAUAAUGUUCAACAGGACGUUUCUGAAUGAUUUGAUAAACACAAUCCUAGCUGGGACAUGGUCUUCGUAUAUGAAAUUGAUCCAAUGUUUCCCCUUACCAAUGCAUGGUGCCGGCACUCCCGCCCGUUUUACAAUUAUCCACCGAUCUCAGUUCCGUCCCGAAGUGCCUCCGUCAACCGGAACGCACCCACACUUUGGUUUGUCGGCGUAAGCAGUCACCCCCUUCCUAAAGCUGUAACCCUGAAGGAAACAAUCCAUUUUGGUCUUGGGCCUGGAAGGCAAUGGAGACAGUGUUAGGGGAUGGAGGGAGGGCCAAAGCGAUGUAAGGCAGACUCCAACUUUGUCUGAUGAUGUCGUCAAACCCCGGAACUGCCAAACGAUUAUUUUUAAUAGUAUUAAUUGAUUACAGGAAUCAUUAAAAAACGCACAAGUGUUUUUUUCCCAGCGUUUGGGGGAUUCUAGACACACCAGACCUAUCAAAGGGGAACUAUUAUAAUAUGUACUCUUGACCUGAGAUAUCCCUCUAAACGUCCCCCAACCCUAAAAUCUAUAUAGGAGACCCACGCGCAGGGCAAUGGAAGGUAUCACUAACUGUUCCCAUGACAGCUGAGGAACCUUGGCCUGAUGGUGAAGACUGUGUAUUUUAAAGAAGUGAGUGAGCUGCCUCUGAUAGCAACUUACCUGCACAUUAUCUCAAAAUAAAACUGUGUGUUAUUAUGGAGGAGCCUAACUAAAGUGAAUAACUUCUUCAAAUCUGGUAUGAAAGCAUACUUGAACUAUUUUCAGGCUUUUUUUUUUUAAGUGAACCGCUGCCUCAAGCUCCAAACCUGCAAAACAAGUGUGCGUUGCCCAGUACAAACCUGCUCUGGAGAAAAGUUCUCCCUCACGGUUCCAGUGUUACUUUCACGCAGACACGGGAGCUGUGCACUCAUACUGUGCACUGUGAUGCAUUUGUACAUUUACAUUUUUUACUUUGGGGUUUUUGCAAAAGAGUGUGAAAGAAAAUAAGGAAGGCCCACAGCUGUGGGAGGGAGGGAGGGAGCAUGCGAGAGGGAUGCUGUUGAGGUUAGAGGUGUCGAUGGUGGACGAGCGCUGGAGCCAGGCAGCUGAAGCAGGAGGAAAAAGAGAAUCAGCACGUUUUGGGACUGUAGACAAUAACGUGGGAGAAGGCGAGGGCUUGUUGUUCAGUGGG